AUCAUAUGGGGAUCUUUUUAAAAUGCAGCUUCUAACUCAGUAGACCUAGGAUGGGAACAAAGAUUCUGCAUUUCUAAUAAGGCCCUAUAUGAUGCUUA
rnacentral:pre_miRNA from 1 species